rnacentral:snoRNA from 1 species
AUGAUACAUAUUAAAAAUGCAUUCUAUUCACUGUGCCAUCUAUAUUACAUCCGUAGGUGAUCAGAGGGGAAAAGAAGAGCUAGAGCAACUCCCACACUCGUGAGCGUCCUCAUACUGUUCUGGGUGCUUCUCACAGGUGCUUCUUUUAGCACCUCCCAUUGGCCCAGAUCGGUAGCUGCGCAAGCGAGAUAUCC